AUUGAACGUUGGCGGCAGGCCUAAAACAUGCAAGUCGAACGGAAACAGUGGAAGCUUGCUUCCAGCUGUCGAGUGGCGGACGGGUGAGUAAUACGCAGGAAUCUACCCAGUAGUGGGGGACAACCCGGGGAAACCCGGGCUAAUACCGCAUACGCUCUACGGAGGGAAGCGGGGGAUCUUCGGACCUCGCGCUAUCGGAGGAGCCUGCGUCGGAUUAGCUAGUUGGUGGGGUAAAGGCCUACCAAGGCGACGAUCCGUAGCUGGUCUGAGAGGACGAUCGGCCACACUGGAGCUGAGACACGGUCCAGACUCCUACGGGGGGCAGGAGUUAGGAAUCUUGGGAGAUGGGCGAAAGCCUGACCCAGCCAUGCCGCGUGUGUGAAGAAGGCCUUCGGGUUGUAAAGCACUUUCAGUGGUGAAGAAAAGCUUGGGGCCAAUACCUCCGAGUCUUGACGUUAUCCACAGAAGAAGCACCGGCUAACUCCGUGCCAGCCGCCGCAGUAAAAC
rnacentral:rRNA from 1 species